rnacentral:rRNA from 1 species
CCCUUAGAUGUCCUGGGCCGCACGCGCGCUACACUGAACGGAUCAGCGCGUUUUCCCUUCCCGAGAGGGACGGGUAACCUGCUGAACCCCGUUCGUGGUAGGGAUCGGGGCUUGCAAUUAUUCCCCGUGAACCAGGAAUGCCCAGUAAGUGCAAGUCAUAAGCUUGCGUUGAUUACGUCCCUGCCCUUUGUACACACCGCCCGUCACUACUACCGAUUGAACGUUUUAGUGAGGUACUCGGACUGAGCCUCAGAAGAUUCACGUCUUUUGUGCUGCUCGGGAAGAUUCCCAAACUUGAGCGUUUAGAGGAAGUAAAAGUCGUAACA